ACUCGAGUGGCGAACGGGUGAGUAACACGUGGGUGAUCUGCCCUGCACUCCGGGAUAAGCCUGGGAAACUGGGUCUAAUACCGGAUAGGACCAUGCUUUAGUGUGUGUGGUGGAAAGUUUUUCGGCGUAGGAUGAGCCCGCGGCCUAUCAGCUUGUUGGUGGGGUAAUGGCCUACCAAGGCGGCGACGGGUAGCCGGACUGAGAGGUUGGUCGGCCACAUUGGGACUGAGAUACGGCCCAG
rnacentral:rRNA from 1 species